GACGAACGCUGGCGGCGUGCCUAACACAUGCAAGUCGAACGGAGAAUUAGCAAUAAUUCUUAGUGGCGAACGGGUGAGUAACGCGUAGACAACCUACCCUUUAGAUGGGGACAACACCGCGAAAGUGGUGCUAAUACCGAAUAUUGCUUGAGAAGCGCAUGCUUUUCAAACUAAAGAUGGCCUCUAUUUAUAAGCUAUCGCUAAAGAAUGGGUCUGCGUCUGAUUAGCUAGUUGGUGAGAUAGAAGCUCACCAAGGCAACGAUCAGUAGCCGGUCUGAGAGGAUGAACGGCCACACUGGGACUGGGACACGGCCCAGACGCCUACGGGAGGCAGCAGUGGGGAAUCUUCCGCAAUGGACGAAAGUCUGACGGAGCAACGCCGCGUGAGUGAUGAAGGUUUUCGGAUCGUAAAACUCUGUUGUUAAGGACGAAUGUAUAGAUUGUGAAUAAUGGUUUAUAAUGACGGUACUUAACGAGGAAGCCACGGCUAACUACGUGCCAGCCGCCGCCGUAA
rnacentral:rRNA from 1 species